AAGCAACUGAGCAAGGCCAGGGAUGGAAUUUGCAACCUUAUGGUUACUAGUUGGGUUUUUUACUGCUCAGCCAGGAGAGGAACUCCUAAACCCUUCGGUACUUCUGCUUUUGUAUUCAGUUCUCAGGGUCCUCCACUCAGGCAGUGCUUGGGACUUGAGGCUGGGAAAAUCCUGAAGGAAGCUCCAGUAGCCAAACCAGGUGGGAGAAAAUCCUGGGCCACAAACGUCUUUCCUGCCUGCUAGGGUGGGAGGGUCUCCCCAGAGUCUGCUUCCGCUCUGCGCGGUAAGCCCAGCUUGAAAGUUCAUUGGCUCAACAAAGAUAAAUGACAUAUCCUGAGCCAAUGGAAGGUGAAACGUACCGGCGCCCGCAUAAUACGGCCGCCUUGUUGGGCAUCCACGUGACCAAUAGCGAGCUGCCUCUGUCCCAGAUUGAGAGGAAGGACAGGCUGCACUAGUCACUGGGGUCGCUUGUUGCCAACCUUUUAACUGUCUCUGAGUGCUCCUCAAGUGCUUCUAAUACAGGCAUCACAGCCCCGCGCGUUGCGGGGUGGGUGGGUAGGGACUAUCUGGUCCAACCUCUGUCUCGGGCUCACGCCCACCGGCGGACCCACUCCACGCCCGAGGCCGCAGCUGUCAAGGGUAGACCUCAGGACCGGUUCCACCCAGGACUGGACAAGCGGAAGGAGGGACUGCAAACAUCCAGGUAAGGCAGCUGCAGUGUCCCUGAAGGGCUCCUCUGGAAGAAUCUUCCCUAACCUUCCAUCCCACUGGCCACCCCAGCCAGGUCGCAGCCAGAAGAGGGCGCUGCCAGGGCAUGGCCGGGGAGCGUCCCGGGGCCUGGUUCGGCUUCGGUUUCUGCGGCUUCGGACAGGCGCUGGGCUCCGGGCGCGGGCGCCAGGUAUACAGCCCGGAGCCGCUGGAGGUGCCGGGCGCGAGCCUUGACGUCUGCCGCGUGAGCGCAAGCUGGAGCUACACCGCCACCGUGACCCGUGAGCGCCCCGUUCCGUCCCCUGCCCCCUCCCCAGUUCCCGUCCUCCAGCCCAGGGUGCGUAGCCCGCCCCCUCCACAGCCCUUUCUCCGCCCCGCAGGUGGAGGCCGGCUAGAGCUGUCAGGCUCCGUGAGCGGCUCGGCAGGAGGCUGCAGGGACGCGUGGGCAUCGGAGGCGCUCCUUGUGGUGCUGCGCGCGGGGACAGGAUCCGAUUCCGGGGCGGAGCUGCAGGCCUGGGCGCCUGGUUCGUCUCUGCGCGGGGAGCCCCUCUGGGCGCAGACCGUGGUGCUGGAGGUGGAGCGGAAGGACGGACCCGGCGGCGAUGAGACCCAGGCUGGGCCGUUGCCGCUGCUGCCCUGCGCCAGCGCCUACGUGAGCCCGCAGCCGCCCUUCUACCGGCCUCUGGCCCCUACGCUGCGGGCGCGCCGGCUGGAGCUGGGCGCUGAGCACGCCUUGCUGCUGGACGCCGCGGGCCAGGUGUUUUCCUGGGGCGGGGGCAGGCACGGACAGCUGGGCCACGGGACUCUGGAGGCAGAGCGGGAGCCAAGGGUGCUGGAAGCGCUGCAGGGCCUACCCAUGGCUGAGGUGGCCGCAGGUGGCUGGCAUUCUGUGUGUGUGAGUGAGACUGGGGAUAUUUAUAUCUGGGGCUGGAAUGAAUCAGGGCAGCUGGCCCUGCCCGCCAGGAGCCUGGCAGAGGAUGGAAAGACAAUCACAGGAGACGCCCCAGGACUGAACGAAGAUGGUUCUGAAGCAAAGAGAGCCACAGAGGGUGAGGAUGGAGGCCCCACCCCCUUCAUAGCUGUCCAGCCCUUCCCGGCCCUGCUGGAUCUCCCCCUCGGCUCAGAUGCGGUCAAGGCCAGCUGUGGAUCCCGGCACACAGCGGUGGUGACAAGUGAGUGGGGCUGGGUAGGCUGGUUCAGGAUGGUCCAGAGGUCCCUUCACCCCAACUCUCUGACUAGUAGCUGCAGAAAAGGGUGGCGAUUGCCUAAAAAAUGACCAUUUUUUUUUCUGCCACAUUCAUAGCAUGUGGAAGUUCCUGGCCAGGGAUCACACCUUCACCACAAUUGUGACCUGUGCCUCACCUACGACAAUGCAGAUGCUUAACCCACAGCACCACAUGGGAACGUCCUAAAAACUACCAUUUUAGGUGUCUUUGGCAUGUACUGAGUAGCUACCUCACUGACUACACCCCCAUGUGGCUCUAACAGUGGCUCCCCAGCCCAUCAGUCCUCGAAGGUUCUUCUUUCUGGAGGGAGGCUCGUGUUUGCCUAUCUUUCUUCUGACAGUAGGGCCUGCCCCGCCCUGCCCUGCUUCUAAGGCUCCUGAACGUCGUAGCUGUGAGUUGCAGGCCAAUCAGCCAACUAGGAACCAUGAGGUGUAGAGCAAGGAGAAGCUUUUCAGUCUGGAUCCUCUGCCACAUCAAAUGCAACUAGAUAGCUGUCAAAAAGAGAGAGGAGGAGUUCCCGUCGUAGUGCCAAGGAACGGGCGAGCUCUACACCUGGGGCUGGGGUAAAUAUGGACAGCUUGGCCACAAGGACACGACCAGCUUGGAUCGGCCCUGCCGUGUGGAGUACUUUGUAGAUAAGCAACUCCAAGUCAGGACUGUGAGCUGUGGGCCCUGGAACACCUACGUGUUCGCUGUGGAGAAAGAGAAGAGCCGACAUAUGUAAAUAAGGGCAUGAAAUCAAUGGACAGUAAAGAAGAAGAAAGCUAACACCUGUGAAACUCCUGCCCAGGUCAAGGAAAACCAGGGCCUGCUCUCCAGAGGCCUUGUCUUUGCCCCUCCCUCCCCAUCACAGCCCUCUUGCUCCAACUUAGAGCAGUGUCCUCGACUUGGUCCUCAAAUUAGAAGCCCCUGGAGAUUUGGCAAUGGAUGCCUAAGGCCAGCAUUGCAGACACGGGUGAAAUCAGAAUUAGACACAGGCAGAUGUGAAAGCUGCCCCACCUGACCCCACCCUGGGGGGAUUUCUAGGUAGUGCCAAGAUGGGGAACUGAGACCAGCUCAGCAGAAUGGGGCUGAAGAAUGGGUGCUGUGAAACCUAAGGAAAAAAGUUAACAUAAAACAAGACACAGAGACAUUUUCUUAAGCAAAGGUGGGAACCGGCAGACUCAAGGUCUCAGGGGCCAAGAGCAGCACUGCCUCAAGAAACCACACUGCUUUUAUUGUGCUCUUUUAUUGUGCUCCUCAAGUGUGGAGGGGGCUAUGGGUGGAGGAUAUAGGGUUUGUUUAUUAUUAUUUUUUGAUAUAGGGUUUGUUUAUUAUUGUGUAAGUUCUUUUAUUAUUUUAAAAGUCACUUAGCUGGUAAAAGGUUAAGCUUUUAAUCUGACCUUUAGGCACAUAACAAUCAUCAGCAUUUGAGUUAGCUAUCUAUGCAUAGCAUUCCAGAGAAGCCUCACUGUGCUUAGGUUUGCACCUUGGUUCUCUGCUAAUGCAUAUUCUGCUAACGAGACCGCUUGUGAACCACUUGGCCAUGAGGUUCCUCUUUCUCUUAUUCCUUAGAGGACAUGUCAUGCUUGUGCAAACGGUGUGCCAAUCUGCACAGGUCCAGCAUGCCUAGACCAACACAUUACGUCCUCAUUCAGCUGACCCUAUGAAUAGCUUAUGCCUUUAGGUCUUUGUUCUUAAGCUUUAAGUCAUUUAUCAGCACUGUGACUGUUUUUCAAGCUGGAAGAUGGGAUAAAGUAAAGCAGGAUGAUGGGAUUUUUCAGUAAAGAAGCUAAGAAAAUAUUGUAGAAACAUGUUUCGGAUAGGGAACUGCUAGAAGUCAUCUUAUUUUGUUACUCACUCACCUGGUUUCAUUUUGAAUGGUACCAUUCCUGGUAUGCAUCUUUAUGCAAUCUAAUUUGUCUGCUUUUGAACUUGAGAUAAAGGCUCUCAUUCCGUGUA